rnacentral:tRNA from 1 species
AGUUCUUUAGUAUAAAUAAGUAUGUUUGAUUUCCAAUCAAGGGGUUUAUAGAAUUA